GGGCCGGUAGCUCAGCCUGGUAGAGCACCUGACUUUUAAUCAGGUGGUCGCGAGUUCGAAUCUCGUCCGGCCCG
rnacentral:tRNA from 1 species